GUGUCAGCCGCCGCGGUAAGACGUAGGGGGCAAGCGUUGCUCGGAAUCACUGGGCUUAAAGGGCGCGUAGGCGGUUGUGUAAGUCCAGGGUUGAAGGCCCCGGCUCAACCGGGGAAAGGCCUUGGAGACCGCAUGACUUGAGUGAGCGAGGGGAGGGCGGAAUUCCUGGUGUAGCGGUGAAAUUCGUAGAUAUUGGGAAGAACACCGGUGGCGAAGGCGGCUACCUGGCCGGUAACUUACGCUGAGGUGCGAGGGCGUGGGGAGCAAACAGGAUUAGAUACCCUGGUAGUCCACGCUGUAAACGAUGGGCGCUAGGUGUUGGUGGUUAGUAGCCAUCAGUGCCGAAGCUAACGCGUUAAGCGCCCCGCCUGGGGAGUACGGCCGCAAGGCUGAAACUUAAAUGAAUUGACGGGG
rnacentral:rRNA from 1 species